rnacentral:lncRNA from 1 species
CACCAAGUGGCAAAAUCUAGUGAAAAGAGAGGAGAAAAAGAUGCUUGACAUAAAAAAUGAGGGAGGAGGGUCUCCUCCACUAGUGGCAGCAAUGUGUUGCCUGAGCGAUAACGCCGCACUGCCUGAGGUGGCUGUGCCCUGGUCGACGCGCUGCAGGCUAGCCUACAAGCGCACAGGUCUUCUUUCGUGCGUGCAGGGGCUAGCUUGUGCACUGGGCACUGUGCGCAGGCCUAUUACAGGUAGGCCCCUAGUGCACAAGGCCUAUUCGCGCAGGCCUGCAGUGCAGACGGUUCGCACAAUGUGUGGCGCCUAUCCUCAUGCGAGGUGAUGCGCAGACGGCCCGCCUGCAUGCGACAAGAUGCCCACAGGUCCUGACCCCGCGCUAUGCGCACGGAUGCGACAUGCACGCUGUGCGUACGUCCCGCAACUGUUGUGCGCGCAUGCGUGUGUGCGCACAGUGCCCAGCACCCGCUCGGGCAAUCUACUUCCCUACAAGAUUUUUCUCGUAGGAUUUCUUCCCGUUUUGUUGUUUUUUUUAUUUCUCUCAAUUU